rnacentral:rRNA from 1 species
CGUACACUCCUGCGGGAGGCAGCAGUGGGGAAUAUUGCACAAUGGGCGCAAGCCUGAUGCAGCCAUGCCGCGUGUAUGAAGAAGGCCUUCGGGUUGUAAAGUACUUUCAGCGGGGAGGAAGGCAAUACGGUUAAUAACCGUGUUGAUUGACGUUACCCGCAGAAGAAGCACCGGCUAACUCCGUGCCAGCAGCCGCGGUAAUACGGAGGGUGCAAGCGUUAAUCGGAAUUACUGGGCGUAAAGCGCACGCAGGCGGUCUGUCAAGUCGGAUGUGAAAUCCCCGGGCUCAACCUGGGAACUGCAUUCGAAACUGGCAGGCUUGAGUCUUGUAGAGGGGGGUAGAAUUCCAGGUGUAGCGGUGAAAUGCGUAGAGAUCUGGAGGAAUACCGGUGGCGAAGGCGGCCCCCUGGACAAAGACUGACGCUCAGGUGCGAAAGCGUGGGGAGCAAACAGGAUUAGAAACCCGGGUAGUCCCA